ACAGACUCCAGGCCCCAUGAACACAUCAAAUGUCUAAAGUGGUCAUGAUGCUUGGAGUAACCCUUUAAAUUUAGAGCCAUAACAAAGCUAAUUGUUUUUCUUUCUUUAAUUGCAGAUGAAGCAUCCAUCUCUAAUGGGUUGAAAGACCAAAAAAGUUUACACAUUUUUUGUCUAUGCACUGAGACUUCUCAAGAGAGAACCGCACAAAAUUUUUAAUGGAGCUGACAUAUUUGCUUUGUUGAUCUUAUGGUUACAAUAUUAUAUUACUGUUUUAGGGUGCUAAGUGAAUCUGUGUACGGUAAACCUUUUUCAAUGCUAGUGGACAAUCAUUUUGAGACCUCAAGGUAAUUCCGAUUUCUGUAUCACUCAACAUAUGAUAGUUAAUGUAACUUGACAGAUUGUUAUUGCAGUCUAAUAAGAUUGCCUUGGGUGAUGCUCACAAAUGAUGUCUUCCAUAAAUUAUUUUAUAAUAGUAAUG